rnacentral:rRNA from 1 species
UUGGAGGGCAAGUCUGGUGCCAGCAGCCGCGGUAAUUCCAGCUCCAAUAGCGUAUAUUAAAGUUGUUGCAGUUAAAAAGCUCGUAGUUGAACUUCGGGAUCAAUGGAUUGGUCAUGCCGAUGGUAUGUACUGGUCAUAUUGGUUCUCACCUUCUAAGGAACCAUAAUGUCAUUUAUUUGAUGUUGUGGGGAAUUAGGACUGUUACCUUGAAAAAAUUAGAGUGUUUAAAGCAGGCUCGCGCUUGAAUACAUUAGCAUGGAAUAAUGAAAUAGGACGUUUGACCCUAUUUUGUUGGUUUCUAGGAUCGAUGUAAUGAUUAAUAGGGAUAGUGGGGGGCAUUAGUAUUCAAUUGUCAGAGGUGAAAUUCUUGGAUUUAUUGAAGACUAACUACUGCGAAAGCAUUUGCCAAGGAUGUUUUCAUUAAUCAAGAACGAAAGUUAGGGGAUCGAAGACGAUCAGAUACCGUCGUAGUCUUAACCAUAAACUAUGCCGACUAGGGAUCGGAUGAUGUUAAUUUUUUAAUGACUCAUUCGGCGCCUUACGGGAAAC